GGAAAUACAGCUCAGUGGUAAAGUACUUGUCUGGCAUGCAUAGGGCCCUGGGUUCAAACCCCAGUAUCA
rnacentral:tRNA from 1 species